UGAUGAAAGCACUACUAAGAACUAGAUUCAGAUGCAAGAGAAUUUUCAGUUGUCAGUUUGGGUUGACUGAAAACUCAUUUUGCAUGCAGAAUCCAGUUUGAAUAUCA